rnacentral:rRNA from 1 species
GUCUACGGCCAUGCCACCCUGAACAUGCCGGAUCUCAUCUGAUCUCAGAAGCUAAGCAGGGUCGGGCCUGGUUAGUACUCAGAUGGGAGACCACCUAGGAAGACCAGGUGCUGUAGAUA